GUGGCCUGGGGCUGUGAGGAGCAGGAACAAGCUGUCCUCUUCCUGAGAAUGGAAAAGAAGAAUGAGCACCCUGAAGUUCCUUUUCCAAGCAGCUGACUAGAGCCAAGCACUCAGCCUGGACCAGCAGCCCUGAUGGGACCAACAAGACUUUUAGGUCUCAGGAGACUGGAGUCCUGCACAGCUCAUGAACAGCUGAGCCUGGAAAAAUGCAUCCAGACUCAUGUUAGGAAACUCUUACUGCCCCCAGCAACUCUAACAUAUUUGAAGCAAACUUAGGGGCAUUCAUCCUCUGGACAGAAUGACUGCACUGCAGA